rnacentral:lncRNA from 1 species
UUUCUUUUAGAAGACAUUGAAUUUUACAUUGAACUGCAUAAUCUCUUAAUUUGCUAUCCUUUUGCCCUUAGGAAAGUGAUGCAAAAAAUUGAUGCAUUUGAUCCUGUGAGAGGUUUUCAGCUUUCAGGGUUCUGUGAAGGAAGACUACAGUGCUGAGGUGGCAAUACUUCUACAGGCUCUGUGGUGGAGUGAAUGGAGAAGAAAACAAUCAAAUUUCCAAGGAAGAUAUCUUUGGAAAACUCACUCUAUUGGCAAGAAUAUACUGUGGAAUAUGUCAUCAUGGGUAUUCCACACCCAUAUUCCCCUUCUCCAUUUCCCACUUUACAUAUGAAGAACCUGAGAUAUCUGAAAACCUCCUCCUAACAACAAGUAUUUGUAUGAAAAAAAUUAGGAACUUGAUAUUUAGCUUGUUGAAGUCUGGUGGGAAAUGCAAGAAGAUGAAGCAAUAUCUCACAGCUGUGGAAAGAGGAUCACAGGUGUACCUACGUGAUGUCUCAACCUUUUAAAUAAGAAAAAUAAUAUGCUGUGCAUGAAAUAUUGGAACUUGAAUAUUACAGGUAAUUAAAUGUAUAUGUGCGUCUGUUCAUUCAAAAUUUGAUGUAAUUUGUUUUGUAUUUCCAUUUGCUUAAAACAGUUCCUGCUUUCUGUAUGUACUCCUUUAAAACGUGU